UACGAAGGGGGCUAGCGUUGCUCGGAAUGACUGGGCGUAAAGGGCGCGUAGGCGGCUUGCACAGUCAGGCGUGAAAUUCCUGGGCUCAACCUGGGGACUGCGCUUGAGACGUGUGGGCUUGAGUGGGGAAGAGGGUCGUGGAAUUCCCAGUGUAGAGGUGAAAUUCGUAGAUAUUGGGAAGAACACCGGUGGCGAAGGCGGCGGACCUGGUCCUUGACUGACGCUGAGGCGCGAAAGCGUGGGGAGCAAACAGG
rnacentral:rRNA from 1 species